rnacentral:rRNA from 1 species
GACUACCGGGGUAUCUAAGCCUGUUCGCUACCCACGCUUUCGUGCCUCAGCGUCAAUAAAGGCCCAGAUAGCUGCCUUCGCAAUUGGUGUUCUAUGACAUAUCUAUGCAUUUCACCGCUACAUGUCACAUUCCGCCAUCCUCAACCUUAUUCAAGAAAACCAGUAUCCAAGGCAAGAUUAUCGUUAAGCGACAAUAUUUCACCCCAGACUUAAUCUCCCGCCUACGCACCCUUUAAACCCAGUAAUUCCGGAUAACGCUCGCACCCUCCGUAUUACCGCGGCUGCUGGCACGGAGUUAGCCGGUGCUUAUUCUGAUGGUACCUUCAGUAACAGACGCAUCUGUCAUUUUAUUCCCAUCUAAAAGAAGUUUACAACCCAUAGGGCCUUCUUCCUCCACGCGGAAUGGCUGGAUCAGAGUUUCGUCCAUUGUCCAAUAUUCCUUACUGCAGCCCCCCGUAGG